rnacentral:misc_RNA from 1 species
AGCAGCCGCGGUAAUUCCAGCUCCAAUAGCGUAUAUUAAAGUUGUUGCAGUUAAAAAGCUCGUAGUUGAAUUUCGGGAUCAAUUAGUCGGUCGUGCCUCUGGUACGUACUGGUUUUAUUGGUUCCUCCCUUCUGACGAAACAUGAUGUCAUUAAUUUGGUGUCGUGGAGAAUCAGGACUGUUACCUUGAAAAAAUUAGAGUGUUUAUAGCAGGCUAACGCUUGAAUACAUUAGCAUGGAAUAAUGAAAUAGGACGUUCGACCCUAUUUUGUUGGUUUCUAGGAUCGACGUAAUGAUUAAUAGGGAUAGUUGGGGGCAUUAGUAUUCAAUUGUCAGAGGUGAAAUUCUUGGAUUUAUUGAAGACUAACUACUGCGAAAGCAUUUGCCAAGGAUGUUUUCAUUAAUCAAGAACGAAAGUUAGGGGAUCGAAGACGAUCAGAUACCGUCGUAGUCUUAACCAUAAACUAUGCCGACUAGGGAUCGG